CCGAGUUUACAACUCCCAAACCCAAUGUGAACCAUACCAAACUGUUGCCUCGGCGGGGUCACGCCCCGGGUGCGUCGCAGCCCCGGAACCAGGCGCCCGCCGGAGGGACCAACCAAACUCUUUCUGUAGUCCCCUCGCGGACGUUAUUUCUUACAGCUCUGAGCAAAGAUUCAAAAUGAAUCA
rnacentral:misc_RNA from 1 species